UACGUAGGGGGCGAGCGUUAUCCGGAAUUAUUGGGCGUAAAGGGUGCGUAGGCGGUUUGGUAAGUCUUAUGUGAAAUCUACAGGCUCAACUUGUAGUCUGCAUGAGAAACUGCCGGGCUUGAGUAUGGGAGAGGUGAGUGGAAUUCCUGGUGUAGCGGUGGAAUGCGCAGAUAUCAGGAGGAACACCGGUGGCGAAGGCGGGUCUCUGGGCCGUUACUGGUGCUGAGGAGCGAAAGCGUGGGGAGCGAACAGG
rnacentral:rRNA from 1 species